UGGGGAAUAUUGGACAAUGGAGGAAACUCUGAUCCAGCAAUUCUGUGUGUGUGAAGAAGGUUUUAGGACUGUAAAACACUUUUAGUAGGGAAGAAAAAAAUGACGGUACCUACAGAAGAAGCAACGGCUAAAUACGUGCCAGCAGCCGCGGUAAUACGUAUGUUGCGAGCGUUAUCCGGAAUUAUUGGGCUUAAAGGGCAUCUAGGCGGUAAGACAAGUUGAAGGUGAAAACCUGUGGCUCAACCAUAGGCUUGCCUACAAAACUGUUGAACUAGAGUACUGGAAAGGUGGGUGGAACUACACGAGUAGAGGUGAAAUUCGUAGAUAUGUGUAGGAAUGCCGAUGAUGAAGAUAACUCACUGGACAGAAACUGACGCUGAAGUGCGAAAGCUAGGGGAGCAAGCAGG
rnacentral:rRNA from 1 species